rnacentral:tRNA from 1 species
GGGCGGCUAGCUCAGAGGAAGAGCGCUCGCCUCACACGCGAGAGGUCGUAGGUUCAAGUCCUACGCCGCCCACCA